UGAGGAAUAUUGGUCAAUGGGCUUACGCCUGAACCAGCCAAGUCGCGUGAGGGAAGACUGCCCUAUGGGUUGUAAACCUCUUUUGUCAGGGAGCAAUUGGCGCUACGUGUAGCGUUAUCGAGAGUACCUGAAGAAAAAGCAUCGGCUAACUCCGUGCCAGCAGCCGCGGUAAUACGGAGGAUGCGAGCGUUAUCCGGAUUUAUUGGGUUUAAAGGGUGCGUAGGCGGAAUGCCAAGUCAGCGGUAAAAUCGCGGGGCUCAACCUCGCUCCGCCGUUGAAACUGGCGUUCUUGAGUGGGCGAGA
rnacentral:rRNA from 1 species